AUUGAACGCUGGCGGUAUGCUUAACACAUGCAAGUCGAACGGUAACAGGUCUUCGGACGCUGACGAGUGGCGGACGGGUGAGUAACGCGUAGGAAUCUGCCUAUUAGUGGGGGACAACGUGUGGAAACGCACGCUAAUACCGCAUACGCCCUACGGGGGAAAGGAGGGGACCUUCGGGCCUUUCGCUAAUAGAUGAGCCUGCGUUAGAUUAGCUAGUUGGUGGGGUAAAGGCCUACCAAGGCGACGAUCUAUAGCUGUUCUGAGAGGAAGAUCAGCCACACUGGGACUGAGACACGGCCCAGACUCCUACGGGAGGCAGCAGUGGGGAAUAUUGGACAAUGGGCGCAAGCCUGAUCCAGCAAUACCGCGUGUGUGAAGAAGGCCCUAGGGUUGUAAAGCACUUUCAAUGGGGAGGAAAAAGAGUAAGCUAAUACCUUGCUUAUUGACAUUACCCAUACAAGAAACACCGGCUAACUCCGUGCCAGCCGCCGCGGUAAGAC
rnacentral:rRNA from 1 species